rnacentral:lncRNA from 1 species
AAAAACUUGAUGUCUGUGUACGAGUGUUAUUUUAUUUUUUAUUUUUGAUCAGGAAAAAAACUUAUUAUUAAGACCUCUUGGUACCAGAAAUACCAUAGCCAUAGUUACAAAAAGAGAGACGAAAUGCCUCCUGAGUACCAGGAAGAAGAUCUGGGUUCAACAUCAAGUAAAUUGAACAACUUAUUCCAGCUCCACAUUCGUGCUUUAAUCUCGUUUAUCACUUUCUUCACCUCCCACGACUUGUCUUCGAAUCUACUAUCGUUGCGUCCCUUCCAAAGUUGCCAUGUUGUGUACGAGUGUUAUGCUGGGUGCUUAGAUAACAUUCUGUUUAACACUCAUUAUUUUUGUCGAAUUUCGGAAUAUAGCUCUUGAAUCCAGUCUGUGUUCUUUUGUGAAAGUGUUCCUAGUUCAAUACCUAAGUCAUUGUAAAGGUAUUGAACUUGAGUUGUGUCCAUUCUCGUUUAGUAAUUUUACCAUAAGG